UUUCAGGAGGCCACCUCCCCAAGUCUCCUCCCUGCAGGGGGACGUUAGAAAGGCAGAUGAGGCAGGGAAGUGUGGUCUUGUGAACCCUUUGAACCUCCUCUGCUUGCGGGAUUGUGACGAUAUCCAAGGUAUUUAGCCGUGAGAGGUAUAGAGUAAGAGUAGAGAAUUGGAAUGAUCCCUCUAGCACUGGAGUAUGAGAGAAGAUGGAGUCCCGAGCUGUAGCCAAGCUAGAAUGAAUGGGAAAGAGGCAGGGGUCACGGGACACCACCACUGACUGUAGUUUUCAGGACCUUUAAUCGACAGGGAGAAUUUAGGAGUGAAGAUUGUCCAGAUCUCCAGACCCAAAUGUGCAGCUGUACGGUAUGACCGACCACUCAGUGAGAGAGGACCUCUCGCGUCCCAAACUGCCACGUCCAUCCCCGUAAACCAAAACUAGGCAAUUAGACGAUGCCAUAACAGGAGCUCCCAUGGACGGUGACUCUGUUCCCUCCCGCCACUCCACCAGGCCAUGGAAAAGCAGGCACACAGGACAGGGUAACUUUGAGCCUCUGGCCCCUUGGACAGCCUGCGACUGCCACAUAGCUGGCUUUAUAGCUUGAAAAUAGCCUCUUCCAGGAAUUCUGCUUCAGUGGCCCAAAUAGAAACAUGAUCCUCUUGCAAGAUGUUGGUAGUGAAAGCUAGAACACCAGAGCCUCGUAGAGUUAGAGCCACAGUUCACAAUUGCAAUUGUUUUCUAAUUAUCAAUUUGUUUUCAUCUGUGAACUAACUGAACAGUCACACACAGAUGUGUUUCCCAUUUUCUCCAUUUGCCUGUGUCAGGCAUCUGAAGGGCUAGCAUUGCACUAGAAAUUGAAACACCGCAAGAAAAUGUAAAUGCGGGGCUGGAUGAGCCCGGGAUUACUGCAGCCACCAGCCCCAGGGCCGGCUCAUUUGGGACCAGAACAGGAGCCGGGUGACACCCGUGUUUCCAGGCUUCCUGCAGCUGCGUGUCGGAUCAAGUCCCUCUCCGGGGAAGGACAGAGCUGCUGGGAGCCAGAGAGGAAAUCUCGCCUCAGGAAACGAAAGGAAGUCUGAGCCACGCUUCGCAGAGCUGGACGGGAACCUGAGGGCUCCGGGCAGCAGGUUUUACAGAUGGUAACAGAAGCCAGCAGGGUGAGCAGCCGGCCUCCACGCAGACCCUGGGUGCCAGGCCGGCCGUCAUGAAAGGGUGCUGUGCGCGGCAGGAAAGGAUGGCGACUCCACCACGGCUGGCAUCAGAGGAGGAGAGGCCUGGGGCCGAUGUGUGAAGGGGCUGCCAAGCAUGGAUGGGGCACGCGGCCAGGCAGCUGUGCACGCAGGGUCCAGGCGGAAGGGCAGAUCCCCUGCUCGGGCGCUGAGGGCGACGUGGUGUCCGGGAGGCCCGAGCGGCCAGGGCAGCGCCCAGAGCUGGACCCAGGGCGCUGGCUUCCUGUCCCUCGUGACGUGACCUCCAGGCAAGUGCUCUCCCACUGUGCAGGAGGGAAGCACUGUCAGCCCUGCCUCCUUCCCACCAGGCUGUUCCCAAGGUCUGGGGACCUCCAGUGCGACUCUGGUAGGCAUGAGAAGCUGCUGCUCUGUGGAGUCCAGUGCUGCCAGGCGGCCUUGACAGGGCGGCUCCAGAGCGGGGGACGCCAGAACUGAGCCGCGUCCAUCCUGCCUGCACUGUGCAGGUUUCAGGGUGGCGGCAUGUGAGCGUCUCUCUCUCUCUCUCUCUCUCUCUCUCUCUCUCCCCCACACGCACACACGCACUCACCCCUAGUAAGAUAAAAACAAGGUGACAUCGAGGACAAAAACCACAAUGCGUCCCAUCUGCUUUGUUGGAGCUGACUUACAAGUUCGAUUUUGAAUUUCUUAAUACUCAAGUUAAAGAGGAAAAGUAAAAUAACAAGACAUAUGCCAACCCACAAGAUCAUGGCUCCCUAUGAGGCCACCACUCGGUCGGCAGGGACACAGGAGGGUGGUCAGGGUGGCCAGGAGGACGCCUGGGCCUCGGCUCGGGCCUGAGGGAGGGUCUGGCCAGCGCACGUGGCAGACCUUCUCCAAUGACCAGGGGACGUGCUUGGCCAGUUUUUCGUGGUAUUAGGGACUGAGCACAGGGACUCGAAAAUGUUAGGCAAGCACUUCGCCAGAGUUAUAUCCCUACCCUAGCGGUAUAUUCAUCGUUUAGUUUGGGGCUUUGGAGACACAGUCUGACUGUUGCCCAGUGGCCAGCCUGGCCCAGAACUUGCUGUCCUCCUGCCUUGACCCGAGUAGCUGGGCGCAGGCCACCUUCCUGCCUCAAGUGGCUGGUGGGGGUCCUCCAGUGGCCCCGAGCCCCAGCUGGCGGUCCUCAUUGGCUCUCCACAGCGCUCAGGCGACGCUCCUGGCCCAGAAAAUCAGCAAGAGGCCCCUCAGGCCCUGUGCCUCGCCUCGCCUCCUGUAAUCAGUAUGCCUCAGACCCGAAGCAGCAGGGAGACGGGGCCAGCUGCAGAGCCCUCUGUGCUGAGUACAGCCCGGCCUGCCACAGGGGGCCGCAGGGCUGCAGGCUGGGUUUGCUGGGCUCCUGUUUGAUCAGACAACAGAAUAAUCAGGGCCGCCUCCAGGUCCCCCUCCGCGGGCUGGGGAGCAGGACACAGGGCAACCGAAAGCAUCGCGAAAUCCGCCUGCGUGGGCCCGUGGCGGGCGGGGAGGAGCCUGUCUGGCCCUGUCGCCGCCCGGAAACGCAGACUCCUUUCCUGUAAUUGCGGUGAAACUGUCACCGAAGGUUCACUCUUCUGGCCGUUUCUGGACGCACAGCUCAGCGUCGUGAAGUAGCUCUCACUCGUGUGCAACACAAGCAAACGGGCUCCAGAGCCCCGCCCCUUCCCCAGGCGGCUCCACCGGAUAAACACCCCUCCCUCUACCUGCACCUGGAUGCCUCCUGCCUUCUCGCUAGAGCAGGACCACUCAGGACCACGUGACCCUGGACUCAGGCGGUGCCUUACUUCAUGUACCGCCCGGCCUUCACAGUUCCCUCACAGGGCAACGGGUGCCAGAAGUUCCUUCCUUUUCAGGGCCAAAUAAUAUUCCUGCCAUGUGUCUAUGCUGCCUUUUGUUUAUCCUUCGGUCUGCUCCUGCCUUUUGGCUGUUGUGAACAAUGCUGCAGUGAACACAGGGGUGCAUAAGCACCCACAAGAAUCCUGCUUUCCAUGCUUUGAGGCAUUCCCCGGGGGUGGGAUUGGUCGGUCACAUGGUAAUUGAUUUUUAAUUCUUUGAGAAGGAGACAGCACUUUUAAUUUUCUUUGGAGAAAACACAGUUUUGAAUGACUUGCUUCAUUGAUGGAGUCACUUUCCUGAGCAUCGGGACUCCCGGGUCCUGGUCCAAGUGCCCCCACUGAUUGCACCCUUUGGGAGUCGCCUGAGGCAGCAGGACGGCUGUCUCCUCCCCUGAGGGGUUUUCCUCCGCACUUCGGGGAACUGAGCCCGGGCCCUUUGCAGGGCAAGUGCCCUACCGCCGAGCGCACCCAGCUGUGAAGAUCUGUGUGCCAUGCACAGGUGUCUCUGCCCUGUCUGCAGGGGCGUCUGGGUCCUGGAAGUGCUGGGGAGAAUGCUGGUUCCUGUCAGUUUGGCAUAGUUUUCACUUUGUGUUCACUGACAAAAGAAAACCGAAAUGAGAGCGAGCAGAGAGAACCGGGGUUAAAGAGGGCCUUAGUCUGGCCAGGAUACCUGAAAUGGGCAGUUUGUCACAAGCAGAGUCGGGCUGAAAGCUGAAGAAUCACAGUUUGUAAUGUACUUGGUAUGUUUAUAGUGUACAGAAAAAUGAAGUAGUUCUUCAAAAAAGACGCCAAAGAACAGUGUUUCUGGUUUGAACAUUAUUCCUAUUAGUCCACUAGUCCUUGCAAGAGCUGCAACAUUGACAGUAAAUCAAGCGUAUUUUAAUUUACCAUGAGGCAGUGAAGAGAAAAUUUCCCCAACUGGUCCUCUGCCAAAGCAUUUCUAUGACCUCUCCACGACCAAACAGCUUCCAACUAUGGAACGGGCUCAGCCCGGGAGACGUCCACUGGGGCUGCUGGUGCGGCCUCGCUGCACUAGGGCCCGGGUGUGGGACAAGGGGGCGAUCUGGCCUUUUAGGAAUGAGGGGCCACAGCAGGCCUGUCACCCACGUGCACGGAUUGUCGGCAAGGACGUGUGGCAGGGACACUGUCUGGGAGAGCACACCAGCCCACUGUGCCCUCCCGCCCCACCUCCUGUGCCCAUGAGACACCCACUGGGACCUCAGGUGACAGUGGGUCACGUGUCCUGCUGCAACGCAUAGCACUCUAAAUUCUGAAAAUGUAAAUAUAUGGUGCUUCCCGCAAAGUGCGUUGAAAUAGUCGCCAACGUUCAAUUGAGCCUCUCUCUCUUUUUGGUCCCAGGAAUCGAACUCAGGGCCUGGCACUUGCUAGGCAGGUGCUGGGCUGCUGAACUACAUUCCCAGCACAAGUUUCUCAAAGUCUGAAUCAGAGAAAAUAAAUUCUAUGUUACAGAUAUUCAAAGAACAUCCAUUACUGCAUUGUGUUAUGUAAAACACUAUUUUAAUUGUUGCGGCAUGUUCAGAAGAGCUUUUCUUGGUGGAUGAUAACAUUUACACAGACACCUGUUGUUUCCUAAAGGUACUUACUGGAAAGGCACUGAAGAGCUUAAAGCUCCUUCCUUGUCUUCCCCCUCCUUUAUAAAGUUAAACAAAACCCCUAGUUUUACAAGCAUCUCUAUAAUCUGGACAUCGUUAUCUGAUCACUCAAAUAACAGUUUCAGUCCGCUCAAAGCCUUUGCUUCAGUUUUUAAGGUAACACUGCAACUUUGCUAUGCAAGCUGUCAUCUCACUGUGUCUGUUAAGUGCAAAAGCAACAGACUCCCUGACUGGAUCACCUCCACCAGACCCCAGGUCUUCCUGCUUGGUAGUAUCUGAGUUUGACACUUGAGUCCUAAGUUGGAAAUUAAAAAGCACUUCACUAAUAGAACAAUCUCAAUAUGAGAAAGCUGAAGUUUUCCACUGUGACACUGUAUGUUACUUCAAAAUACAUGACUAAGGGCGAGGGAUUUAGCUCAGUGGUUUCGCUGCCUGCCUCGAAACCAAAAGGUCCUGAGUUCGAUCCCCGGUACCAAAAAAGAAAAAAAGGAAGUUCUAAAAAUAAACGACUAAGAAAAUGUCAUAAUGAACACUUACAAUUUUCAGAUAUUUAUUAAGAUCAUCAAAUGGCAUGCUAAUGAAAUGGCCUAACGCAG
ensembl:lncRNA